rnacentral:rRNA from 1 species
ACAUGCAAGUCGAGGGGCAUCGGGGCGAGGAACAAUCCUUGCCGCCGGCGACCGGCGCACGGGUGAGUAACGCGUAUGCGACCUGCCCGUUGCAGGGGGAUAAUCGGGAGAAAUCCCGUCUAAUACCGCGUAAUGCCGCGGGGCUGCAUGGCCCUGCGGCCAAAGGGAGCGAUUCCGGCAACGGAUGGGCAUGCGUGACAUUAGCUAGUUGGCGGGGCAACGGCCCACCAAGGCGACGAUGUCUAGGGGUUCUGAGAGGAAGGUCCCCCACACUGGUACUGAGACACGGACCAGACUCCUACGGGAGGCAGCAGUGAGGAAUAUUGGUCAAUGGGCGCGAGCCUGAACCAGCCAAGUCGCGUGAGGGAUGACGGCCCUACGGGUUGUAAACCUCUUUUGUCGGGGAGCAAAUUCCGCCACGUGUGGCGGAGUCGAGAGUACCCGAAGAAAAAGCAUCGGCUAACUCCGUGCCAGCAGCCGCGGUAAUACGGAGGAUGCGAGCGUUAUCCGGAUUUAUUGGGUUUAAAGGGUGCGUAGGCGGACUGUCAAGUCAGCGGUAAAAUACGGGGGCUCAACCUCCGCCCGCCGUUGAAACUGACGGUCUUGAGUGGGCGAGAAGUAUGCGGAAUGCGUGGUGUAGCGGUGAAAUGCAUAGAUAUCACGCAGAACUCCGAUUGCGAAGGCAGCAUACCGGCGCCCAACUGACGCUGAAGCACGAAAGCGUGGGUAUCGAACAGGAUUAGAUACCCUGGUAGUCCACGCAGUAAACGAUGAAUACUAGCUGUCCGGGGCGAAUGAGCCCUGGGUGGCACAGCGAAAGCGUUAAGUAUUCCACCUGGGGAAUACGCCGGCAACGGUGAAACUCAAAGGAAUUGACGGGGGCCCGCACAAGCGGAGGAACAUGUGGUUUAAUUCGAUGAUACGCGAGGAACCUUACCCGGGCUCAAACGACACAGGAACGUACCUGAAAGGGUUCGGCUCUACGGAGCCUGUGUCGAGGUGCUGCAUGGUUGUCGUCAGCUCGUGCCGUGAGGUGUCGGCUUAAGUGCCAUAACGAGCGCAACCCCCAUCGACAGUUGCUAACAGGUCAGGCUGAGGACUCUGUCGAGACUGCCGGCGCAAGCUGCGAGGAAGGCGGGGAUGACGUCAAAUCAGCACGGCCCUUACGUCCGGGGCGACACACGUGUUACAAUGGCAGGUACAGCGGGAAGCCACCUGGCGACAGGGAGCGGAACCCGAAAGCCUGUCUCAGUUCGGAUUGGAGUCUGCAACCCGACUCCAUGAAGCUGGAUUCGCUAGUAAUCGCGCAUCAGCCACGGCGCGGUGAAUACGUUCCCGGGCCUUGUACUCACCGCCCGUCAAG